UGUGGACCACACAGAGCUGGGUCUGAGGCUCAGCUUCACAAGCUGUGUAUGGUAGGUCCAUGGUCCUUUUUCUUGGCCUCAGGGCCCAUGUCGGUAACACAAGGGUUCAUAAAGACAGGGGCCAUUGUGUCAGAUGCUUUUCUAAGUGCUACAGAUGCUUACUCAUUUAAUCCUCACAACAAUAAUAGGUCCUAGUAGGUAGGAACUAUUAUUAUCCCUAUUUUACAGGUGAGAAAAUGAAGGCACAGAGAGAUUGAGUAACUUGCACAAGGUCACAUGUAGGAGAACUGAGCAUCCACCCUACUCAGCCUGGCCCCAAGGUCCAAGCAAAGGCUUGGUUAUUUGGAAUUCCUCCCCAAAGUUUCACUUCCUGGGCUAGUUUUAGGCCUGCUAAACCCAUGGUGAUCAGCACUUUUAGAAAAAUCAGCAUCUUAGAAACAACAUGUUAGACAUGAUUUCAAGCCCCUGGUAACUUAAACCCAAUUAUAAAUGGCUUUGGCUAUAAAGUGUUCUUGAAUGAAAACGUUUAGGAAGUAGGCCUGGAUUCAGAUGCUUCAGAGGCUCAAAGGUUUUCUAAUUGUUUAUGGAGAAGAUUGAUCUUCACAAGCUAGUUUUUUCAUAGGCAAAAGCAAAAGUCUCUUCCUGUGUUAUUAAGUGAAAAUGGCUGAUUAUAAAAAGGGGCUUACAAACAAUAUUUAACAAAUCUUCAUCAAGUCCCUACUCUGUGGCAGGCCCUGGGUCAGGAGGUUGCCGAUUCCAGGAAGAAUCAGACCUUAUCCCUGCCCUUGAGUCUCAAGAAGAGGAAAGGAAAACAAAUAAGCAUAGUACAGUGUGAAAAGUGGGACUGUGGUCAAAUUUCAGUCUGCAAACUCAGAAUGGAUGAAAUAUGAAAGACUGACAACAUCAAGUUGUCAAGUAGGACAGGAUGUGGAACCACUGGAACUCAUACGUGACUGAUGGGAAUGCAAAAUGAUACCGAUCCCUUGGAAAACUCCUUGGCAACUUUAAUAAACAUAAAUCUACCCUAUGAUCCAGAAAUUCCACUCUGAGUCACGUCUCCAAGAGCAAUGAAAAUAUAUACCCACAAAAGACUGCACAUAAAUCAGAACAGCAUUGUUGAUAAUAGCCCAAACUGGAAACAACCUAAAUAUUCACCAAUAGAAGCCUGAAUAAAUUCAUACUGUGGGAUACUCUACAGCAAUGAGGUAGAUGAACUAUUACUGCCUACAACAACAUGAAAGAAAGUAAAAGUCACUACUUUGAUAAUUAUAAACACAAAAAAGUAAACAUAUCAUUCUAUUCAUAUGAAGAGUUAUCUAAAUAAUUAGUAAAAUUGAUCUAUGAUUUUAGAAGUGGUACCUCUGGAGGAGAAGGAGGGGUACUGUUACUGACUGAGAAGGGAGUUCUGGAAAAAUUCUAUACUUUGAUCUUUGGGAUGGUUACACAGAUGUAUAGAC
rnacentral:lncRNA from 1 species